rnacentral:rRNA from 1 species
AGUGAACGCUGGCGGUAGGCCUAACACAUGCAAGUCGAACGGCAGCACAGUAAGAGCUUGCUCUUACGGGUGGCGAGUGGCGGACGGGUGAGGAAUACAUCGGAAUCUACUUUUUCGUGGGGGAUAACGUAGGGAAACUUACGCUCAUACCGCAUACGACCUACGGGUGAAAGCAGGGGAUCUUCGGACCUUGCGCGAUUGAAUGAGCCGAUGUCGGAUUAGCUAGUUGGCGGGGUAAAGGCCCACCAAGGCGACGAUCCGUAGCUGGUCUGAGAGGAUGAUCGGCCACACUAGAGCUUAGACACGGUCCAGACUCCUACGGGAGGCAGCAGUGGGGAAUAUUGGACAAUGGGCGCAAGCCUGAUCCAGCCAUACCGCGUGGGUGAAGAAGGCCUUCGGGUUGUAAAGCCCUUUUGUUGGGAAAGAAAAGCAGCAGGUUAAUACCCCGCUGUUCUGACGGUACCCAAAGAAUAAGCACCGGCUAACUUCGUG